CUGUUAUUUGAUUACCUUUAUUAUUCAUUCUUUGAAAGCUCGUACAUUCUCAACAUUAAGAAAGGAAAAGCUAAGAUUUAGUUUUAUUAUCUUAUUACUCUCCAAACCUUAAAUCAAACAUUUUACAUCCCUUAAACCUAAUAUUAUAUAUCCUAAGAUAAUAAACCACUAAAAGUAUACAUUUCCGUACCAUGUAGUUUCUAAAUAUAUAUCCUGAGACCUACAUCCC
rnacentral:lncRNA from 1 species